UGUCAGCUUCCAGUUCUGAGUGCUGUGUUGUUUUGUUACUUGGAGAGGGUUGGAACUCUUCAUUUUUGGAAAAUUCUCGCUCAUAAACUCUAAGUGAUUCUUCUUUGUGGCUGAAAAAACGAUAAAAAUCCUUGAGUGUUUUAUAUCAAAUAGUGUCAACCUCCUCUUAACAUACUGUUCUUACUAAUGGUUUUCUGUGGAACUGCUGUUUGACAACGUCUGUUACAGAGUGUUUUCAAAACCAAAGCAUUGAUCCACUCACAGAGGUCAGUGGUGCAAACUCACAAACUGGUGGUGGAGGGAUCUUCCUGCAGAAAGAGCAAGCUGGCCCCUGGAAACUGAGUGUGUGUGCAAGUUCUUACCUCUUCUGCCUCAUGUUACAGCCCUUUAUCGAAAUCCUGAGGGUUCUGAAGAAUGGAUUUUGGUGUCACCAGGAGACAGUUGUCUCACACAUGGAUUGGUACCAACUGUAUUGAGCAGAAUACUGAGGAUGUUUGAAAGUGCUGUUAAUUCUGAAAAAGAAACUUAUUUUGCUAUGGACUACUCUCUGUCAUCUUAAAAGUGUGGAGUCUUAAGAUACAUAUAAAAUGUCUAAAAUAUGUAAGAGAAGAAAAAUCUAUGUAAAAUUUCUCUAAAAAUCCAGAUAAAUUAUGGUGUAUUUAUGAUGUACAAGAACUUAAAGUACCUCUUCUCUGUAUUCAGUAUACUGGGGAGUCCAUUCAGAUGUGUGGGCUGUCAUACCUAUUGAUGCUUUUAAAUUGACUGAAAUGAAAAUAACUUCUUAAA